UACGUAGGGGGCAAGCGUUGUCCGGAUUUAUUGGGCGUAAAGCGCACGUAGGCGGUUCGUUAAGUCGGAUGUGAAAGCCCUCGGCUCAACUGAGGAAGUGCACCCGAAACUGGCGAGCUUGAGUACGAAAGAGGAUCGCGGAAUUCCCGGUGUAGAGGUGAAAUUCAUAGAUAUCGGGAGGAACACCGGUGGCGAAGGCGGCGAUCUGGGUCGAUACUGACGCUGAGGUGCGAAAGCGUGGGGAGCAAACAGG
rnacentral:rRNA from 1 species